CUAUGACACGUAGGUAGGUGGUCAGGCUUUAUUAUGGCCGUCAAAACACCUACUUGCUGAUAUCUGUUGUUACUUUCAACUAAGAUGUCCCAAUAUCUCCUCGUAUUAUUUCUUACUCCGACUGAGUUACCCGCUUUAACCGGAUCUUGCAAGGAUUUUCAGAAUCUGGAAUAGCUUGCCGAGAAUCUGCCGCUGGUUUAACUCUAGAAUG